UACGUAGGGCGCAAGCGUUGUCCGGAAUUAUUGGGCGUAAAGAGCUCGUAGGUGGUUUGUUACGUCUGCUGUGAAAACCUAGGGCUUAACCCUGGGCCUGCAGUGGAUACGGGCAGACUAGAGGUAUGCAGGGGAGAAUGGAAUUCCUGGUGUAGCGGUGAAAUGCGCAGAUAUCAGGAGGAACACCGGUGGCGAAGGCGGUUCUCUGGGCAUUACCUGACGCUGAGGAGCGAAAGUGUGGGGAGCGAACAGG
rnacentral:rRNA from 1 species